UUUUUUUUUUUUUUUUGACACUUUUAAUUUUAUUUUCCUUUUGUUUUAUAUUUAGCGUACCUAAAUGAGCUUUAGCUGUUUAAAGUGUAAAAAUGUUGUCAUAAAUGAAUAAUGAAGCACAUGAGUGUAGUGUGUUAUGUGUAGAUGGAUAAUUGUAAUUUGGAUUGUAAUUAAAAUAGUCUUUUUUUCUUGCUUAAUGGGAUUUUUUUUUAAUAAAAAUUCACUGACUUCUGUAGUUUAUUUGUUUACUGUUAGCUUGAAUUAAUGAAAGGCUUUCCUCCUUUUCUGUGUUUGUUUUUCUUUGGUUAUUUUAAUUUUUGGUUGGUAAUGGACAAAAUCAAGAACAGUCUCUUCAGUCUUCCCAGCCACCUGAGCUCACGCAGGGCUUGAGGUUUGAGAAGUCCCUUUCGUUAUUGGGAAGCUAUUGGCCCUAAAUGCUUCUAGUGUUCCUAUAACCAAAAAACUGUGCCUGAUGAAUGUUACCGUGACUCCUUCUAUUCUGGUAUAGAUAGAGAAGUGUGCUAAAUUAUAUAUAUAUAUAUAUUUCGAAUGGUGUAAAUCCCAAGUUCUCCACAUUGUGCAUUUCUUGGAAAGUAUGGAAUUGCAGGACUGCUGUCAAGCCAUAGAAGGUAAUUCCUGCCUCUUGUUUAUAUUAAGCUUUAGGAUUUGUGAAACCUACUAAGCUGCCAAAGAAUGAACACGCUUCCUUUUUAGUAGUCAUUUUCUUUCUUCCUUUAAUCUCUUUCUAAUUCUUGAAGCAUAUCGACAAGUUUUAAUUGGAUGAGUGUGAAAAUGAAAUUUGCUCUUUAGUGAACUGUAAGUCUGUAACCAAUUCUUAUUUGUUAAGGGAAAUGCUAUUUUGUAGUCUUAUUAUGUGUUGUAACACCCCCUGAAUAUCCGCCAUCAAUUUGAAAUCAACAAUAUUAACUCAUCAAAAAACUGUGUUAAUCAAUCUCUUGGUCUUCUCUCCCUAGACUGAUUCUUUUCUUUCUCUCUUCCUCUCUUCCUCUCUUAUGAUUUGUCCUAUGUCGACCCCUUCCAAGUCAAUAUUCCUGCUUAGCUCAGUUGAUCACCCAUCAUUUUUUCCACUUUACUAUUCCUAUCACUUUUAAAUCUAUUACCACUGUGUAUUUUAUAUUAGAUCUCAAUUACCUUUCAUCAUGUUUUCCUGUUCAUGAAAAUUCAAAAAGUUUCAACUUUGGACACAUGUAAAUGGUACUUGUAAAUGAGUAGAUUAGUCAUGCAGCUAUUUUGUCCUAAUUUUUUUAUCUAAAAUUAUCUUUAUUUUUGUGAUCUGAAUUUGCAGAGUGAAGUACUGUUCUUCGAAUUAUAUGCUUCAUAUGGAUAUACUAUUAGGCACCCCUCUAGAACUUAUUCAUGGUCCUGAGCUUUACAUGACCAGCUUAUAUGCUGAUUAUCGCUUCUCCAUACCUAUUCCUAAGAGUUGGAUGCGCAUUUUAUCUUCUGAAACUUCUUCAGUCCUGUUCAGCUUUAUCGGAAAAUUGUAAAACGCAUUGAUGACCUUGGGUUCUUCGGACCAUGUAGAAAGUUCUUUUUCUAUUGCUAAGAUACCUUUUUCUUGUUCAUGAAAAUAUAUCUAGUACAGACAUAUAAUUUGUAGUCUGAAGCAAAUUUGUCAAUGAUAACAGGUAGUAUAUCAAUGGAUCCUCGAGGUAACUCUGAUACUCGAAUCAUGUUCUAUUGGCACUAGUCAAGCAUCAAUGUGGCUAGCUGCCAGAGCUGGUUUGUGGUAGCAAUAACAGGAGUGGGUACAACUUGCUUUGAUAAGUAGCCUUGAAUUAGCCGAUGGAACUCUGAGCUCGAUGGCAGUGGGCUUUAGUGUCGCUAAUGGAGUUAAAAAGAAAAUUGAAUGAGUUGCGUAUGCGUUUCAGUCACCAGGAGUACUUAUCUGGUUAAGAAAUGGAAGGGUAGAUACUAGAUAUCAUUCUAGUCCAUUAUAUGAAUAGAUGGAGGGUUCCAGUUUACUGGGAGGCUGCCAUGCGGAAGAAUGAAAUUUUCAGUAAAUUAAUCUAGCAAAGCUUUUAUUGCAAACACUGGGCUAAGUAUUGUCUUUAUGGACCCAUAUGCAUAGUUGAUAGUUCUAUCUAUUCACCGGAUUCAAGUAGUUUUUAGUUCCCUUUUUGAUCGAUUGCCGUGUGAAACAUUCCAAAGCAUCUAGUGGCAAUUUACUUGGACAUAUAAUUUGAGAUUGCUUUCGCUAAACAUUCUUAGGAUGGUGCAUACUGUUCCUGAACUGUGUUAAGAGGAACUCGCAAUAGUGAACCCUUCAUGGAAAAUUCGUUGUUUUUUAUACAGACAAUUGUGAUUUCAGAAAAUCUCUUAAGAUGGGAAUUAUUGAUGGAGCAACAGCUUCA
rnacentral:misc_RNA from 1 species